UGUUGUCAAGAUUGUCAAGGUCUAUAGAUUAUAAACGUUUUAAUAUAAUAACAGCAUCUGGCAGCAGCUCUGGAGUCUCUGGACUGACUCAGUCUGUAGCUGACUAAUCAACUCAUUGAUCAACACCUGGCUGCCACUGAGCUUCAGUUCACACUGAACAAACCCACACAGCAGGAGAUGGAUUAUGGCUUGAUUUAUGACAUAUUAUCACGGUUUACACGCAACAAAUGAAACAACAAACAUAACAGCAGACAGCAGUUGGAUCUCCAUCUAACGCAAUGAUCUCUUGGCGGAAACAUGCUAAAACACUGAGAAACUGGGAUUACAGCUAACACACAGAGCCAGAGGGGGGUCGACUUCAUUCUCAGCAGACAGCAGCAGCAGGGAUGGGCCAGGAGGGAGGGCUACUGUGACUACAUACCAGUCGGACCUCCAUUUAACGCAGUGACCUCUUGUCGUGUGCCCGGCUAUGUCUACAAAGCACGGAGAAACUCUAACCAACACACACAGAGGGAGAGCGACUUCAUUCUCUGCUCAGACCACCUGGAAAACAACGCUGAUCGAGAUGUGAUGUGCGGAGUGCUCUCGUGGAAACAAGCCGAGCUUUAGAUGCACUUAAUGAACUGCGCUGAAGCCAAGAACAGCUGAGAGGUGUCACUAUCAUCACAGGAGAACAUGUGUGCCUCUCAGUCUCACCGAUCAGAACCACCAGACGGGGCCUCUCGUUGGAUCUCUGCUGGUAGCGGGUCACCUCCUCAUAAGUCAGGAAGUCGGGGUCUCCAGGAUCAGAGCCCUCUCCGGAGGAUCCUUGCCUGUCCUUGCGACUCAGCCGGAAGCUCCUCCGUAAACCAGCUACAGCGAGGCCAGAGAUGGGAGGGAAGAAGGAGCAGAAACAAAACACGUCUUUCGUCAGAUGUCAUGAACCCUAAAACUAUUUACACAAGAUAACAUGAGCACACUACUUAACUUCCAUGAUGCAGAUACGAUCUCUUUGUGUUUCAAAAUUAGAUAAGUGCAGUGAGCAAAUGCAAAAGCAAUGUUUCUGAUAAAGUCAAGACCAACCCAUUUAUAAGCAUGCAUUAAAAACCUUUGUGCACAGGGAUGAAAAUAGCUCACUCUUAUCUAGAGUGUAAAUACUUGAUAGUGUGAGAUAUUAGCUGAACUCAGAGCCAAUUAGACGUCAUGCUUCGACUAAAAAUUACAUUACAUGCAUAGUAAACAGGUGAAGCAGACUGUUUUAAGCAAACCAUUCAUUACAUUCAUUUUUAAAAGAGAUUAAAACACUUUCAGAAGUUCAAAAAACAGA